AGGAACUUAGGUUAAUCCUAGACCAAGGGCCUUCAAAGCCCUAAGUAAGUGCGACACACUUAGCUCCUG
rnacentral:tRNA from 1 species